GAAGAGAGUCGCGCGUUAAUACCGUGCGGCCUUGACAUUACCCGCAAAAGAAAGCACCGGCUCAACUUCCGUGCCAGCAGCCGCGGUAAUACGCAGGGUGCAAGCGUUAAUCGGAAUUACUGGGCGUAAAGCGCACGUAGGCGGGAAAUUAAGUCGGAUGUGAAAUCCCCGGGCUUAACCUGGGAACUGCAUCCGAUACUGGUUGCCUAGAGUAUGGAAGAGGGAAGCGGAAUUCCAGGUGUAGCGGUGAAAUGCGUAGAUAUCUGGAGGAACAUCAGUGGCGAAGGCGGCUUCCUGGUCCAAUACUGACGCUGAGGUGCGAAAGCGUGGGGAGCAAACA
rnacentral:rRNA from 1 species